AGGAGCCGUGCGAGAUGAAAGUCUCAUGCACGGUUUUGAAUGAGAGAAAGAAGUGAGGAAUCCUCUUUUCGACUUCUGACUCUCC
rfam:Corchorus capsularis cultivar CVL-1 contig02435, whole genome shotgun sequence.